GUCCACGCAGUAAACGAUGAGUGCUAGGUGUUGGGUUAAUUCUCAGUGCCGUAGCUAACGCGUUAAGCACUCCGCCUGAGGACUACGGUCGCAAGACUAAAACUUAAAGGAAUUGACGGGGACCCGCACAAGCGGUGGAACAUGUGGUUUAAUUCGAUGCUACCCGAAAACCUUACCAAGCCUUGACAUGUUGAUCGUACACUAAGUAACUAGUGGUCAGUUUGGCUGGAUCAACACAGGUGCUGCAUGGCUGUCGU
rnacentral:rRNA from 1 species